rnacentral:lncRNA from 1 species
ACACACCAGUGUUUUCCCCUCAAGUGAGGCAGCGUUAGCAACUGCAGUCCCAGCUUCCUCUGCUGAGGUACAAGCGGCCACUGCCUGAUUUGUUGGAGGAGCGCUAGAGUCCAGUAUCUGAGGGACCCGGCAACACGCAGCUGUCACAGCUAGUGGCAGACAGCCACUUCUUCCCAGCUGCUUCGCCAGCCCUGGCAAGAGGGCACACUCUUCCAAAAGCCAGCCUGCCUGGGGAGGAGGUUGCUCCACACUGAAGAGGCCACCUGGUGGUAACUAUAAGAGCACAAUCCUUCUAUACUGAUCUUGGUGUAAGUCCUGUGCCUGUAAUUUAUUAACAUUCUGACCCUGGUACUGGAAGCAGUAGCCAUGUUAUGUUCUGUGAACAACAAGGUGGAGCAGGGCUGGUCUGGAUGAAAUGGCUUGGAGCACCUCAGUUCACAUGCCUCUGGUGAUCUGCUUAUUUACUCAGCUCAUAAGUAACAGAGCAAUAACAUAUGUCCUUCUCUCCAUUUGAGAUGCUUUUGGCCAUUGCUCUGACUGCUUCAUCCUCAUGUUUUAAGGCUCAGUUUAGUCUUCAUUGUAUCUCUAAGGCCUUUCUUGAUCUCCAACAAAAUAAUCAUGUCCAUGUCAAAUAUAG